CCGAAAGGCGUAGUCGAUGGGAAACAGGUUAAUAUUCCUGUACUUGGUGUUACUGCGAAGGGGGGACGGAGAAGGCUAUGUUGGCCGGGCGACGGUUGUCCCGGUUUAAGCGUGUAGGCUGGUUUUCCAGGCAAAUCCGGAAAAUCAAGGCUGAGGCGUGAUGACGAGGCACUACGGUGCUGAAGCAACAAAUGCCCUGCUUCCAGGAAAAGCCUCUAAGCAUCAGGUAACAUCAAAUCGUACCCCAAACCGACACAGGUGGUCAGGUAGAGAAUACCAAGGCGCUUGAGAGAACUCGGGUGAAGGAACUAGGCAAAAUGGUGCCGUAACUUCGGGAGAAGGCACGCUGAUAUGUAGGUGAAGUCCCUUGCGGAUGGAGCUGAAAUCAGUCGAAGAUACCAGCUGGCUGCAACUGUUUAUUAAAAACACAGCACUGUGCAAACACGAAAGUGGACGUAUACGGUGUGACGCCUGCCCGGUGCCGGAAGGUUAAUUGAUGGGGUUAGCGGUAACGCGAAGCUCUUGAUCGAAGCCCCGGUAAACGGCGGCCGUAACUAUAACGGUCCUAAGGUAGCGAAAUUCCUUGUCGGGUAAGUUCCGACCUGCACGAAUGGCGUAAUGAUGGCCAGGCUGUCUCCACCCGAGACUCAGUGAAAUUGAACUCGCUGUGAAGAUGCAGUGUACCCGCGGCAAGACGGAAAGACCCCGUGAACCUUUACUAUAGCUUGACACUGAACAUUGAGCCUUGAUGUGUAGGAUAGGUGGGAGGCUUUGAAGUGUGGACGCCAGUCUGCAUGGAGCCGACCUUGAAAUACCACCCUGAUUAAUGUUUGAGGUUCUAACGUUGGCCCCUGAUCGGGGUUGCGGACAGUGUCUGGUGGGUAGUUUGACUGGGGCGGUCUCCUCCUAAAGAGUAACGGAGGAGCACGAAGGUUGGCUAAUCCUGGUCGGACAUCAGGAGGUUAGUGCAAUGGCAUAAGCCAGCUUGACUGCGAGCGUGACGGCGCGAGCAGGUGCGAAAGCAGGUCAUAGUGAUCCGGUGGUUCUGAAUGGAAGGGCCAUCGCUCAACGGAUAAAAGGUACUCCGGGGAUAACAGGCUGAUACCGCCCAAGAGUUCAUAUCGACGGCGGUGUUUGGCACCUCGAUGUCGGCUCAUCACAUCCUGGGGCUGAAGUAGGUCCCAAGGGUAUGGCUGUUCGCCAUUUAAAGUGGUACGCGAGCUGGGUUUAGAACGUCGUGAGACAGUUCGGUCCCUAUCUGCCGUGGGCGCUGGAGAACUGAGGGGGGCUGCUCCUAGUACGAGAGGACCGGAGUGGACGCAUCACUGGUGUUCGGGUUGUCAUGCCAAUGGCACUGCCCGGUAGCUAAAUGCGGAAGAGAUAAGUGCUGAAAGCAUCUAAGCACGAAACUUGCCCCGAGAUGAGUUCUCCCUGACUCCUUGAGAGUCCUGAAGGAACGUUGAAGACGACGACGUUGAUAGGCCGGGUGUGUAAGCGCAGCGAUGCGUUGAGCUAACCGGUACUAAUGAACCGUGAGGCUUAACC
rnacentral:rRNA from 1 species